rnacentral:lncRNA from 1 species
CUAUGACUAACACUGAAGCUAGGAUCAUCUCUGCUACGAGUAAAGGAUUAUUAGAAUAUCUCUUCAAGCAACCUAAGGCUUCAGAUUUGAGACCUAGCCUUUGCCUCUUAAUCUGGUCAGAGUAUGAAUGAAUGCAGUUCACCAAAGAAGCAAUACUGAAAGUAUUCUCCAAGUUAGCACUUCUGUCACUGACCAGGAAAGAGAAGCCUGAGAUGAAAUGUCCCAGAAAUAGUGAGUGAAGGAAGAACUACUUGGAGUGCUGCAAAAUGUUUUCAAGAUACAAAGACCGCUGUCACAGCUAAGAUAGAAUAACAGUCUUCCCUGCUCAGCUUGUUGAUACUGCGGAGACCUAUACUACAAUCAUUGUUUGACCACCUCAGAUGCAGC